UCAAGAAACUUCCACAAUGGGCGAAAGCCUGAUGGAGCGACGUCGCGUGAUGGACGAAGUGCUUCGGCACGUAAACAUCUUUUAUGUGGGAUGAAAUUAUUGACAGUACCACAUGAAUAAGGGGCUCCUAACUCUGUGCCAGCAGGAGCGGUAAUACAGAGGCCCCAAGCGUUAUCCGGAAUCACUGGGCGUAAAGGGUGUCGAGGCGGUUGUAUUAGUCGUUCGUAAAAUCUACGAGCUUAACUUGUAGGCGGCGAACGAAACGGUACGACUUGAGGUUUGGAGAGGUGCGUGGAACUCACGGUGUAGGGUGAAAUCCGUUGAUAUCGUGGGGAACACCAAAGGCGAAGGCAGCGCACUGGCCAAAAUCUGACGCUCACACACGAAAGCUAGGGUAGCGAAGAGGAUUAGAUACCCUUGUAGUCCCUGAGCGGGCUGGCAAGGCGCAU
rnacentral:rRNA from 1 species